rnacentral:rRNA from 1 species
GCCAGACUCCUACGGGAGGCAGCAGUGGGGGAUAUUGCACAAUGGGGGGAACCCUGAUGCAGCGACGCCGCGUGGGUGAAGAAGUAUUUCGGUAUGUAAAGCCCUAUCGGCAGGGAAGAAAUUGGACGGUACCUGACUAAGAAGCCCCGGCUAACUACGUGCCAGCAGCCGCGGUAAUACGUAGGGGGCAGGCGUUAUCCGGAUUCACUGGGUGUAAAGGGAGCGUAGACGGCCAUGCAAGCCUGGAGUGAAAGCCCGGGGCCCAACCCCGGGACUGCUCUGGGAACUGUGCGGCUGGAGUGCGGGAGGGGCAGGCGGAAUUCCUGGUGUAGCGGUGAAAUGCGUAGAUAUUAGGAGGAACACCAGUGGCGAAGGCGGCUUACUGGACUGUAACUGACGUUGAGGCUCGAAAGCGUGGGGAGCAAACAGGAUUAGAUACCCCCGUA